UUUUUUUUUUUUUUUUUUGUAAAGAUGUGUGUGUGUGUGUGUUCUUCGGUUAAAACGAAAACUUUGGGAAGGAAACCAAUACUUCUCCUCCAAAAAUGGAAGACUCGCGUGAAAUACUCCUAAACUCGCUCGCCAGCUCCGGCGUUCGCGUCCCAUACGACGUGUCGUCUGUCCGAGACCUCACGCCGGCUACUUUAGUCUCGAUCUGCGGCCAGUCCCUCAACCUCAUCGCCAAAACGUCGUCGUUUCCGACUUCGCUACCUGAUUCCUCCGUCGCCGACCAGUUCAACGUCUGUAUGGCCAUGGCCUCCGGGAUCCAGAGCCUCGGCUACGUCGGCGAUAUGAGCUUCCACAAGGUAAAGAAGGAUCUUGAAAUUUUGGUUUUGAAUUAGUCGAAUUUGAAUCUGUUUCUGAAUUUAGAAGUAUGUGAAAUCAUGUAAUACUGAAAUAGGAUCUAAAUCUUAAGCUGUAGGGAUUUGAUUACUAGAGUAGGAGUGAGCUUUCGAAGUUUUCGAUCAGUAGAUAACAUAAAAAGAAGGCUGCAUUGCUCGGAUUUUGUGCCGAAAAUGUGGAGUUGCGAUUGAAUUUAUUAGUUUCUGCUUUGAAAUAUUUGAUUUUGAAUAUUACUGAAGUUAGGUGCUUUAGGUUUGAAGGAGUGAGAUUUUGAAGUUUUUGAUCAUCAGAUAACAUAAAAAGAAGGCUGCGUUGCUCAGAUUUUAUGUCGAAAAUGCGGAGUUGUGUUGCGUUGCGAUUGAAUUUAUGAGUGUUAUUCUUUUGGAUGUUGGCAUGUGUGUGGUUUAGUUUGCUUUGAAAUAAAGUUCUUUUGUAAUUUUUGCUGUUGUGGAAUUAUGAUUGGAAACAGACUAUAUGUGUUGCUUACGGCAGUUCUUGUAUCCAUCUGAAGAGGACUCGUGUAAGUUGGUAAGGUUCUUGGUGGAGAGGCUUUCAGAGUCGUCCAGGAGUGGAAGCAGGGGUGAUCUCAAUGACAUGGGGAGAGUGAAAGAAGAUGGCUUUGAAAGCGAUUUGGCCAGCCAAAAAAGAGGUGAGGAUAGACUUGCACCCAAAUGGGAUGAAUUCAGAUUGAACGGUGAAGAGCCUGAAGUAUUGGAUAGCAAGGGUGAAGAUGCAUCCGGCAGUUGUGUUGCUAAUCAUAUGCUGCAAAGAUUGGAGGAAAUGAGUAUUGACAAGGUAUCCAGCAGACCUGGUGACGCACAUUCAUCAGAGGUAUGUUCAUUUAAUAUAGCUUUCUAACAACACAGGAAAAAUUUCAUUGAUGCUCUUUCUUCUUGAUAUUUAGUCUUUUAUUGCAUAAGAUAUAAAACUAAAAUAAUCAAUCCUCAGGAGAAACAGCUCACAGAGGAGGUUACUGCAAAGACUUUAGAAUUGAAGCACCUUGAAGAAGAGCUGGAAUUGUUAAAAGCAGCAGUAGCUAUAGCAUUUGAUGUCGAUCGUCCCACUGAAUUUUACCUUGAGGAACUUAAUCAGCAAGUGGAUGCUCGUAAGAAACACAUUGGAGAACUGAAGUUACAGCAGUAAGCUAUAGAUCUUUAUUCAAUUUUGAGAUCAAAAUUUUCAUAGCAAAAUUUUUGUAUUGCACUUGUCAAGACGGAUCCUUUCUAAUUAUGAUGGGCACUUUUAGAAUUUACGACAUCCACAGGAAAUGUAACUUAACGACAUUUUGCCAGCACAUAUGUGUACAUAUAUGUACUAUGCUAUUCUUUAGCUCAGUUUUCAUCUGCUAACAGUAAUUUUUCACAGGGAAGAAAUCAGAAGGCCUUUAGUAGAGAAAAGAAGAUGUCUUCAGGAGACUCUAUCUGCAGGUAACCCUGAUGCUCAAAAAAAGAUGCAGAAGCUGAAACAGCUUGAAUUGGAAAAGGAAUCCAUCUUAGCUGCAAUUCAUAAAAGGUAUAUUAUCUCUGAAAAUGAAAUAAAUGUUGCUGGUUGGUCGUCUUCAAAAUUUAUGUAUUAGCUUGGGACUUUUAACUUUGGAAAAGAACAUAUAUCAUGAUGAAGGUAAAAACAGAUAAAAAGGUAUGCAAUUUUACUCUGCACAAAAGAUUGCCCAAAAACUAUGCUAUAGGUUGACUUGUUUCUUUCUCUCACUAAAUAGUUUAACAACUUCUCUCGCCUUUUUACUGGUGAUAUAUUAUGAUUCUGUAGGGAGGAGGAACUUUCUCAACUUUCUGGGGAUCUAGAGAAGCAGCCAAAAGUAGCAUCAAGGAGAUCUUACAUUGAAAGGGUCAAAGAGAUCACAAAAAAUAGUCGGAAGCAAGAAGCUGACAUAGAGCAGAUUUUAAAGGACACCAGGGAGCUUCAGUUAGAGAGUAAUUCUAUUCAAGAACGCCUCCAUCGGACCUAUGCUGUUGUAGAUGAGCUAGUGUUUAGGUACAUAAUGUCCACCUACAAACUUUUUGUCCCUUGAAAACAGGAAAAAGAAGUGUAUAAUCUCAGUAUACAUUCUUAAUGCACUUUAUCUCAUUCAAACUCUAAUAUUUUCAGGGAAGCAAAGAAAGAUGCAGUAGGGAGGCAAGCUUAUAGGCUCCUCACUAGCAUCCAUGAGAGCUUUGAACAAAUUCGUGAGAAGAUUCUGGCAACUGAUAGAAUACGCCGAGAAGCAACUGAACAUGAAAAGAAGCUAGCAUCCAUGGCUUCACGAAGCUUAAAUGCAGACAAGUUACAAGCAGAUCUUGAGGUCAUUAGGAGGGAAAAUGAGUACCUAGAGAAAUCUCUCCAGGAUAAAUAAAACUAUCGAUCUUUCUUUCUGGUGAGAAUGUACAUUAUUUCAGCUGUAGACUUCUCCAGAUUGCAUUUAUACACAGCGAAGUUUGUAACCCCUAUUCCUUAUCAAAGUUUCUUUGUAUACAUAUACAAUCUAUUUUCAAAGUCCCCAUUCUAGUUUGAUGAGUUGCAUCAAGAUUGGUCGCCUCACUGCCAUUCAUAUAGAAGCUAUAGAGCAGGAGACACUGUCCACCAUUAAUCAGGUCCGGUGGUGUUUCUAAGUAUCCAUUUGAACUAGUUAUGGUGGCAGGGCCAGUUUUCAUGGCCAUUGUGGAGGAUGAUACAAUCAACCAUUCAACUUCAACCUUAAGAUCAAUCUUUUAACUUCAACCUCAAGCCCGGGGCAUGAGUGAAUACAUAAGAAUGAAUAUCAUGAAACAUAAUAGUUCGAACUCAUUACAUAAACAGCACAGAGAACUAAAAGCCGUUGGUACUAGAAGAUACAUUACGCAUGGAAAACCCAAGUAAUACAAUUAAAAUCAAAGUUUGAGAACUAAAAUUACAGUAGUUACAAUAUAUGAACCAACAUGCGUUCGAAUGAAAAUGGCCCCCCUUCAUUUCUGUUUCUAAGUUUUUUUCAGGCCCCGAGUCUUCAUGCCCCAUGAUUCACUAUAAUCAUUCAGCUACAGAUACUAGAGUUUCAUCAUAUCCAGUCGCGUCAAAAUAAAAUGAACACCCGGGCACCCCGGGAUAUACCUCCUCGAGCCUGUACCGUCCACUACAGAUUGGCUUCUCUUCAUUACGGCAUUCAAUCCAAAACAACUCCUUAAGCAGUUUAAUCACCAUUGUACCGCUUUCUGUAAUGAAACACAAAUCCCCUGUAUCGUAUGAUUCACGCACCCCAUGCACUGUCAUCGCCCAAACUUCAUUUUUCCUGGGACAAAAACGCUUUCGAGACCAGAUGCAAAGAUAUCCUCCUAAAUGAACCACAGUUGUUAUCUUUGUUGGAUUGUUGCCUUCUUCAUUUUGCCACAAAACAGGCGGCAAUGUCACUCUCCGAAACUCCUCCGUUGCCAAGUCAAACGCAUAGAUAACUGGAUCUGAAGUCUCAUUUCUGCGGCCAAUGACCCAAUGAAUAGCUCCAUUUGAAAAAGUACCCUGUUCACUAUCCCAGCCCGGCCAUGACGAGUAUGGAGCUGUAAUAACUCUCCAAAUGUUGGUUCUCAGAGAGAAGAUAUGGACUUCCAACAGAUCACCGAGGGCAGGUAUUAUGACACAAGUUUGUAGUCAUCACUGGCCGACACAUAACCAAAGCCACUGUUUAUAAAGUACAGGCUAUUCCCAUCUGCUGAAUGUAUUGACCGCAACCGCAAACAUGGAUUAGAUAUCUUGCGGCAGAAUCCAGUUGAUAGGUUCCAGAGAGACAAGUUUCUAUAACAGUGUUGGCCUAGAAGUAGCAAACCAUUGCAGGAACCCAUUUUUUUCAUCUCCGCAUGCUCCUCAGAUGGGAAUGUAAAUUUUUUUACUGAAAACUUAUCAUCCAAGGAUUGAAAUCGAGGGGGUAACUUCGUGGUUGGAUCAUAACAAGCACUGGGCCUCGGACCUGGCUCUCUGACACUAGGGUAGGAGAUGAGGAGGACUUUUCUACAGAGGGUUCUCAGCUUUGAAGCUAGUUGGAAGUGAGAUUUUCCAAAUUUAGGAUCAGAAAUGAUCGACCGCCACCGUUUUGAAACACAAGUGAACCGGAUCAAGGACUUAACCGGCAGCCGGCACAAAAUCUUGACUAUAAUAUCUUCAGGGAGAUCAAAGCAGCUCGACAUUGACUUCUUGAGAUUACGAGUAUCACUGUUCCAACUGGGUUUUCCGACUCUUAUGGACCUAGACCCAAAAGCACUAUACAACUAAGCUAAGAAACACUACCCGAACUAGUUUGGUUUGGCUGCAAUCAAACCGGAGUAUGCCGGGUCGCGUUGGAUUCUAUCUAUCAUACCAAAAGCAGUAACAUUUGUACAGAAUCUGAAACAAAUGAGCAACGACAAACUUACCCAAAGCAGCUCAGGUAUGAAGUGUGUGGGAUGUUUUAUCACAGACCAAAAUCUGAACUUGAGAUUCUAUAAGCUCUUGGUUGUUUUCUCUGUUCAAGGGAGGUGAAGAGGAAUUAGAGGACGAUGAUAAUGACUUUGGGAGACCUACAGAUGAUAUAUAAAUGGGUUUUGGGUUUGGGCUUGGGCUUGAACCUCAGAGGGUGUUUUUGUUGAGGUUUUUUCCUCCUUUUGCAUCAGAUGUUUCUACAUGAAAUUUGAAUUUAUAUGCAUCCGUAGAUGGGAAUACUAAAAUGCUUAAAGUGAAUAGAAACCAGGAAAUAACAUUGUGUUUUCAGAUCAUUCACUAACAAAUAGGCAAAUAGCAUUCAUAAUUCUUCUUUGGUUAGUGUUGGUGUCACUUCCCUAAUCAGCCCAGAUUACCAACAGCCCAAGUCACAAGCCCAAUGCUCAAGCUUCACCUUCACAUUCCCAGAUUACCUUGUAAAUGUUUUCCGAUGCUAGGUAGCCAGGGAGCUAUAACAAAUUUCUCUGACUAAAUAACUAACACAGAACGGGUUCAGGCCCAGCAUAAGAUUUCCAUCGAGAGAACGGGUUUAACAAAUGAGCACAAAUAUGGCAAACACAAAUCGGCCAAAAUGCUCAUCAUAGAAAAGAACCAUAGGUACGCAUAUCCCAAAAUGCUCAAGUUUCCACAUAUUUGUUUUAAAAAGCUGAUGUGAAAAUCAUAGGCACCGAAACAUACCAUACAAUCAAACUAGAAUCAAAUCACAGUUGUCUUUAGAACAUAACUAUCAAUUAAACACCAGUAUUCAGAUGAAACAAAGAAGGAUGACUUUUUCAAAAUAGUCAGAUGAACUUCACGAUGAGUUUUUCAACAACUGCAACAAAGAAGGAUCUACCCUAUCCAUAGACAAUAUCAAUUCCAUAGUAGAUGCAUCUGCAGAGUAACCUCUCUUUCGCAUUUCCUUAAUAAGUUCAACAGAGUAACCUCAACUUCUUGCCUUCCAACUCUCUAACCAAUUCCGAUGCUGAAGAAAAUUGUUGGUUGUUACAUAGGCCACAAACUCGCAUCUCAGAGAACAACUCUUCUGCCUCUUGUUUCCUCCCUGCUUUGCAAAAGCCAUAAAUAAGAGUGGUAUAGGUGAUGGUGUCUGGAACAAGCUCCCUAAAAGUCAUUUCCUCGAAAACCCUGUAAGCCCCUGUAAGCCUGAUCGACAUUUUUACUCUUGCAAUAUCCGUUUAUCAAUAUAUUACAACUACGAACAUUGACCAUGGAGCCCUUCCAAACCAUUAGAUCAAAUACUUUUUCGGCCUCAUCCAUCUCUCCUCGCAAACAAUAACCGUCCAUAACCGAAUUGUAUGUGAUCGUGUCAGGCUCAAUAUGUCUUUGAAACAUUAUCUCAAUCACACUCUGAGCUUCCACAACCUUCCCGUCCUUACAGAGUGUAUCAACCAAGACAUUAAAGGUGACCAGAUCUGGAAAGACACUUUGACUCACCAUAUAAUUCAACAACCUGGUAGCUUGUUUGCACCGGCCUAUAUCACAAAGUCCUUGAAUCAAAGAGGUGUAAGUAACAACGUCUGGAGCAAUGCCUCUCCUGAUCAUUUCUGCGAAGAGUUUCAAUGCUUCAUCAAUGAGUGUGCCCUUGGCGAGACUGUCGAUAAUGGUGGAAUAGGAAACUGUAUCGGGGUUAAAACCUCUCUCUUCCAUGUUCGUAAGCAACUGAAUCGCAAAACUGUUGUUCCCUAUCUUGCAGAAGCCCUUUAUAAGUGUGUUGCAAACAACCACAUUGGGCUUACAGUGACCUCCCUCGACCAUUUUGGUGAAAACUCGUGCAGCCUCAGGCACUUGAUUGUCGAGAACAAACCCGUGGAUGAUAGUGGAGAAGGUUAUAACAUCUGGUUGAAGACCCAAUUUGAAGAACGUUCCCAACACAGAAAAGACAAACCUCAUUUGAUUCAUAUGGCAAUAGCAGUUGAUCAUAAUAGAGAGACUAUAUUCAUUAGGAACAAUUCGAGAGAGAAGCAUUUGUUUAAAGAGAGGGAUGACGGGUGAAUAGUGUUUCAAUCUGACAAGUUGAGUCAAGAUUUGAUUGAAAGGGAUAACAGGAGGCAGAGGGCGCGAGUGAAGCAUUUCUUCGAACACUUUCAAGGCAUCCUCAACAUCACUCACAUCGGGUCGUCGAUGAUUUCGAUAUGUUUCUCUGGAUUUGGUUAGGUAUGAAGAUUGGGAAUGAAACAGAACCGAGUAACUGUUGACAGUAGUAGAGUGAAGAAAUGGCAUACCUCUUGUGAUGAUACUCAUGAUAGUGUUGUUGUUGCAAUGAGAAUAACGAGCAGCAGUUGUUCGAAGCAUCUUCAACGUCUCUCAGUCUCUCAGUAUCAGACUACUCUCAGUAACAAAUCUCAAAAGCAAUGAAUCAUAUAUGUGGGUUUUGGGCUUGUUCUUGGGCAUGGACACGAGCCUUAGGAAGUGUUCCAACUCAAUCCGUUAAUAUACGAAGACGAAAUAUUUCCAUUUUAUAACUUUUUUUAUUAUUUAAUUUCUGUUUUUUUUUUCUUUUUAAAAGAAUAGUUCCAUAGUGUUGAGAAUUCUCGUUCACCGAUUGUCAUGCAUUCUUUCGUCUAUAUAUAAAAAGGAUCUCAGAUAAUGAAUGACCAGACUUGAAAAACUGUCAUGUUUGCAAUGUAAAUGGAUAUAUGGAAAAAAGUUGAACAUCCCUCGGUAAAAGAUGUCUAAUAUCAGGUCGGAACACGUAUGAGACCAUGUAUAGAAAGUAAUAGGUGAUCAAUGAGUGCACCCUUCUAAAACCUAAAGCACAUUUUUUGUUGAUAUGAUCACUACAAUUGUCGAGGAUGAUGCAUAAGUGUUUUACACAAGGACGAAGAACAAACUUGUCAUGAAAAAAAAAAUCUCAUUGAAUCAGGGAAAGGGUCUGAAACAUAAUAAUCUUAUAUCAUUAUAUGUUCUAGUUCAUAGUACAUAAAUAACAUAAUCUUAUAUCAUCCCUCUUCUGCUCCUUGGUUUUUCAGGUCUCGGGUCAUCAGGCCACAUGCUUCAUAAUCAUUCAGGUACUGACACUAAAGUUUCAUCAUACACAAUCGCGUCAAAUAUCGCCCCAGGAUACUCCUCAAUUCUAUAUCGGGCACUGCAGACCGGUUUCUCUUCUUGAAGGUGUAAAAUUAACCUAGCAGCGCUGCUGCAUUUAGAACUGGCAUUAUAUACAGCCUAUUUAUAAACAAACUCAUGAACUAUAUAAGCAUGUAUUAUACAGUAGUUACACAUAGAUAUAAAGUUUAUUAUCGAAUAAGUUUAUGUGUAAUGACAUCUGUUAAGAAUUCAAAUUCAAAAUAGAGGUUGUUAAGACAAGAAUUGGAUUAAGACAAGAAUUUAUCUUGACAGUUUCUUGAUGGAAGAAACUGUCAUGGAACUGUCAAAAGCAGUUGAAAUACAACUACUGCCAUUCUGAUCCCUUCUUGAGCACAGACACACUCCUAUAUAUUGUCCCAUCCAGCAUCUCUAUUAAUAAAGUCAGAAGGAAAGUCUGAUGGUUAAAUUUUUGAACUUCCGAAAAAGCCCAAAGUUUAUUAAAACUCUUCUAUGUUAUAAUAUUGGUCGGAGGAUAUAAUAGUCAUUUGAAACUAAGAGCCAAUACAGAAAAAACGGGAAGAGAUGAGUCUUAUGCGGAAGAGAAGAGAUAAAGAAAAAAAGAAAAAGAACAAAAAGAAGAACGUAGGUGCACGAACUCCGGACUUCUGAAGAACCGCCAGUGCACGAUCUCCAUACUGCCGGUAACUGCAACAAAAACGUUGGGUUCAAAUGGAUCAGAAGAAGCAAACGAAAAAGGAACAAACAGGAGAAGAAAGAAAUAGAGCCGACAUUAAAGCCGACAUUAGGAGUAGAGAGGAGAUCAAUCAAACUGGCUGAGAUUCUGAGAAGGUAUGUUUUAUCGUUUGCUAAUUCUCGAAUUCUGUUCUCCCUUGAUUUUGAGACCAUGAUUAAUAUUUAUGAAUCUCAGAAGGUAUGCAGACUUGAUUUUUGGAAGGUUUGAGGACUUGAUUUCAGGAUAGAUACAAGCCUAGGACAAAUCAAUGGAGAAGGCUAGGUAUGUGCACUUCAAUUCUGGGUGAAAUCCUGCAGUGGAGCAGUCGAAGUGAAUAACACACUGUUCUUUGGGUUUUAAUUUUUUCAAGAGCACAGUAAGAAGUUUGCUUGGACCAGUAGAGAAAAAUCAAAUGCAAAUGGUAAAUAUAGUACGCUGAAGAUUGGGGAUUUUAUUGUCAGCCAGGUUUUCGAGUUAAUGGAACUGCUGAGACUUGGAACACUUUGAUAUAUAGGAUAUUUUGUAUUCUAUUGUGAUCGUACUUAUUUUUAUACUUUUACUUCUUAUAUUGUGAUCUCUUCAUUAGUCAUCUUUAAAUAAGAUGUCUUAUGCAAAGAAGGGCGCCGUUAGUAAGAUGGUGUUUUUGUUUAAAAGGUGCUUUAUAUAUCAGUUUUACUUUCUGGAAUUACUUUACUAAUUAUCUUUUUUUGAAUGAGUGGUAAAUCUGUGAACGAUACUGAAACUGGAUGCACUAAUUCUGCUUUUAAGGCAUAUGUAAAAACCAGAAGUCUAAUAUAAGAAUUUCAUUGGGUAUUGGAGAGCCUAAUAAUGUUGUACAUGUGCUGAUAACGUGGUUUUGUAACGUAGAUCGAAGUACUUAUAGUGUGGUAUUGCCUGUCCAUAAUCAAUGAUAGACAAUACUUGGCAGCCUCAUAAUCAAAUAGGUUUCCUUACAUUUAAUUCCUACUGAGUGUAUAAAACAUUUGAUCUCUUCAUUGUUUCUAUCCAAAUAAAGAAUUUAUGAGUGUAUUCCCUAUUUAUCUUUUAUCUUCUCCAGGUCUGUUGUGGUUAGUGAACUUGCAGAACUCCGGACUAACUCCACUCUUUAAAUCACACCAUCACUGCAAAGCAGAGUCACAAAGACACGCAUAUGAUGAAAGAAAGUGUUAAAAUAAAGAGGCAUCUCUAUUGUACACUGAGAAGGUAUGUUGCAUCUAUAUUAAUUAAUCAAUUUUCAUUUUUGUUCACCAUGCUUUCAAUGUUUGGUAUUUCUUAGUCACUCUUAUUGACUUUGUUCUCUAUAUUAGCUCAUGGUAGUUGGCAUCUAAUUUAGCUGGUGUUUUUUUAUUUUAUUUCAUGUUUUAGUUAGUUCAACUUUUUAAGACUGCUGGAAAGAUCAUGAAAUCAUUGGAUUUUUUCAUCUUGCAAUCAGUAGUUUCAAAAUUUAAAUUUUUCAUACACUCCUUCGAAAUACUGUACAACUUGGGAUUAAGGCUUAUGGGGUUGAGCCAAGUUCAAGUUUACAUAUGAGGAAUGACUGACUAAGCCCUAAAUUUAUCUUUUGUCAAGAAUUGACAUCUCAUUAUAAGCUGUUAGCCUGCUAUAUCAGUUUUAUAAUCGCUACACCCUUCAGUUUUAUAAUCCUUGAUACUUUUUAUCUGUAAAUUUUGGUUCAAUUCCCGUAUGAGUUUUUCAUUGCUUAGAGUCGUAGAUUCAGUUAUACAGAAUCUUUACUUUUUAAAUAAUUUCGUGUGGAAAAAAGCCUGAUAUGAGAAAGCCUACCGAAUUAAGUCAUUUCUUUUCCUCUUUUGCGGUUUCAGUUCAGUUGGUUCACUGGAAGAGUGGGUUUGUAAUACAAUGCUGCUAAUCAACAAGAAAUAGAAACAUUGAAAAUGUUAUAUUUAGAGUCCAGCUUCAUUGCAUGUGCAUAAAAGAUUAUCCUUGCCUGCACUCGUGUGAUUGGUGUCUAAUUGAAACAAGCCAUUUAUGUUCAUGUCUAAGUUGCUAGAAUAUGAGCAUAUAAAACAAAGAAUUCAUUGUACGUUUCUUUAGGAAAGCUGUGUCUAAUUUAACUAACGAUCGUUUUCUAAGCUGUGUUUCUAAUCUUUUAUUUUUUUGGAUGCAGGACAGUUCAUAUCCUAACCUAAUCUUCGGUGUACAAGUCAGGAAUACUUGCUUUGAAGACAGUUUUGGUUCCGUUGGCAAAGAACUUUAUUUGAGGUAAGUUUUGGUUCACUUCGACAAACAAUGGACUUGCUUUGAAAUAAGUAUUGCUAUGAGAUAAGUUUGGGUUAAUCCAUAUUCUUGCCUGCAUUCAAUUGGUUUCAUUUAUGACCAAAGUGUGUGGGUUACAAUUACUGAUCCAUCAAAUUAAGACCUAUUGAUUUUUCUCAAUGAAGGAUGUUGGUGAUGGAAAGGUACUACAAAGGGUUUGUGGGAUAGAGGGCAGACAUGGAGAGUGAGGUGCUAUUUAUCAAUUUAGUUAGCAACACUGUUGUUGUUUGGCGGGAAAGUGGAACAAGUAGCAAUAUAGGCAUGAGCUGUGACAGAAAAUUUGAGUAGAUGCAAGAUGCAAGAUAUAUUAAACUGUGAUAUUAGCCAAAGAUUUGUAUUUUUUUUUUUUUUUUUUGCAAUAGUGGAUAGGAGUCAAAGAUUGAUUAUUCUUGGAUCCUUGCAACAGUGGUGAUACUUUCUCAUUUUUGUUUACUCUUAGACUGCAAAUAAGGCUAAUAUUCAUAGUUUUGAAUAAAUAUGAAAUUCAGUACACUUGGAAUCACAUGUAUUUGGAAGAAAGACCUGGGACCAAAUACGAUUUUAAUAUAUUAUUGCUGAAGUUUCACAAAAUUUAUUUCAAUUUUCUGUAUUGGGAGCUUGACUGCCAUAAUUAUAUGGUUCAGUAAAAAAAGUGUCUUUUUUUUAAAUGCUCUGCAUAUCAUAAAGUUUUCUAUACUAUGAUUUUCUCUAUAUUGUAUUAUUGGAGCUCUGUUAAAUUAGACUUUAUUAAGUGAGCACACUUAUUGUACAUUUGAGUAUGACCAAAAGAAAAUGAUCACAUAUCAAAGUAGAAUAAUUGGCCUUUCAAGAGACAUGCCGGUCUUCACAAUUUGAAAGCGUUAAUUUACAGGCAUAAGCGCACCCGAGUGUAGGAAGGCUAGAUGUUGAUCAAAUACCCAAACACUAGGCUAUAUUAAGUGAGCAUAUUUAUUAUUGUCUGUUUUAAUAAAGGAUUGACGGAAAAGGAUUACAACUCAAAGUAGAAUAAUUGGUCGUUCACGAGACAUGCCAAUCUACAAACUUUGAAAACGAUAUUUCACACGUGUGAAAGCGGCCCUUCCGCACGUUUUUAUCAAGUCACAUGCAAGUUUUGGUAGAUACUGCUAUAUUAGCUAAGGGUACUUCAUGACGAAAAAAGACAUACGCACGCGCGAGCGUGGCCCUUCCGCACGCGCAUCUACCAAAUCUAGAAGAACAGAUAUGGAUAUGAACUCAAAUCUACCAAGUUAGUAUUUCAAACAUAUUUACAUUUGAUCUAGAAUCUGUCAUAAGAUAUUAGUAUAUUGAAUGUUUAUGAAAUGUAGAAACUUACAGAAGGCACUCAAUCCAGACCAGCUCCAUCUUGUCAAGCAGUUUGAUCAAAACUGUACCAGCUUCUGAAACAAAUAUAGGAUCCCAGCUCUUGCAUGAAGCAAACUCAUCUGGUAAUUCAUAUCCAUCAAAUUCAAUGAGUUUAACCCAAGAUUUAGGCUCAUCAUACUCUCUCAUAACCCAAAAUUCAUUUUGCUCAUAAAGAUCCACAGACCGUACACAUAGACCUCCUCCUAAAAGAACCUGCAGUCUUAUCUCCCGCAUAUCAUCUUCAUUUCGGUUGAAAACAGGCAAUGGCACUUGCCUGAACUCCUCCGCUGCCAAAUCAAAAGCAACCAGAGUUGGAUGUGAUAGAUCUAUGGGAUUGGAAUAGUUCACCCAGUGAAUCGCUCCAUUUGAAAGAGCCCCCUGCCGGUCAUUACACCCGGCCCAUGAAGAGGAAGGAGCUUUGAUAACUUUCCAAGAGUUGGUUCCAAGUGAGAAGACAUGAACAUUCACAAAAUCACCAGGGGCAGGUUUUAUGAAAACAACCUUGUAGUCGUCAGUGUUGGACACUUGACCAAAACCAUAAUAUAAAAAAUUUAUGCACCAUUUAUCUUCUGUUGAUUUUGUCAGCUCAAGCCGCGCAAAACAUGGAGUAGGUAAUUUGCGAAAAAAUCCAGUUGAUGGGUUCCAGAUAGACAAGUUCUUGAAAUAACCUUGAUAUGAUUCACCUAGAAGUACCAAACCAUUGCACGAGGCCAUUACUCGUUGGCUCUUCUCCUCCGAUGUUAAUGUGAGAUAACUGACCGAAGAAUAACCCUCUAAGGAUUGAAAUCGAGAGGGUAACCAAGGCAAGCCAUCUUCUAAAGGAUCGGGGAUAUAACCUUUCACGGGUUUAAUUGUAGGGUAGAUGGAGAUGAGUACUUUCCGACAGAGGGUUCCCUGCUGUGAUGCUACUUCAAGAUGAGACUUGCCAAACUGUGGAUCAGAAAUGAUGAUAGAACGCCAGCGUUUCGACACACAACUGAACCGUAUCAAGGACUUGACUGGCAGACGGCAAAGAAUCUUCACUAUAACAUCUUCAGGGAGAUCAUAGCUCUGCUCUUUCUUCUUCGACAUUGACAUGAUUGCCGAACAGACUUACACAAAUACAGCUGAUGCAACCAAUGCAACCAAGAAUGCAGAUAUUACAACCAUAAUCCAAUCACAUGUUCUGAUACUAAAUGAGUUACAAUUUGAUUCAGACCCAUUGACCCAAAAAAAAAAUAAUAAUAAAAUAAAUUGAUUCAGACCCAACACGAAAACUAGUUACUGAUUUACUUCACUCCCCCAUCAUGUGGUUACAGUGAAAUAGAGGUAUAUUAACAUGAGCAUCUUCCUUUUGUGACAGACCUUAAACUUUGUAGAGAUAUCGAUGAAAGAUCCCAGAUGUUAAGCUUGUUUCUACAGAGACAUAAAAAUUGAACUGAAUUAAGAGAACUUACCCGCGAAGAUGUUGGUCCAGAAGGAGAGCUUCGAUGUGAUCGCAACCCAAAUUGAAAACCAGGAAGAAUGUGGGGAUUGUGGGCACGGAUUUUAGGUUUACCAAGAUGAGCGGAAAUGAUAAGGAGGAGCUUUGGGAGUUUACAGCAGAGUGAAACAGAAUUGGGGGUUUACAAUAGACGGAUUUUGGGCUUGGGCUUGUAAAAAGUCAGUAUUGCUAAAAACGAUCCAAUUUAUUUACACGUACGUGUCCAGCCGUAUCGGACACACAUCCGGCCGUUUCUCACCAUACCCGGCAGUUCGAGAGAACAUUCUUAUUAUACAAGACGCCGGGUAUGCGUUGGUAGAGGCCGGAAACUGAAGGAUACGGCUAGAUAUGGUCGAAUACGGAAUACAUAUCCGUAAAUUUAUGAGAUACGCGGGGUAAUAAUAAUAGUGCAUUAUUCAUAGUUUUGAUUCCUGAAUUACAAAUAAGACACAAAACAUCAAAAACAAAAGAGAAUGAACAAUGAGAAGGUGGUGAAUUUAAAUUAGGUACAUCAUAAAAGCAAAUUUGAAAGGAAUUUAUAGCAACCCCUCUUCAUUUCUGCUUCUUACAUUCCAAUGAUUCACCAUAAUAUCAUUCAGGUAGUGAAACCAGAGUUUCAUCAUAUACAGCCCCUCUAAAUUGUCGGUGCACUUUAUUAGUUUUAUUCUUGUUUUGAUUCUUUAUGGUAAGUAAACAAUAGAAUGAAAUGAAAUAUUCUCAUACCAAGUUAAUAAACGUGUUAUUGGUGAAGAAUGGAACAAAUUACCAGGUUACUAUAAUAAUUCAACAUUUAAACUACGAACAAGUCCAUAAUAGUGGAAAACAAGCAUAAACCAAAUAGAAGGCUUGACAUAUACCAUAGGUGCUCGAUUAUUACAAACAGAAACCAAACAUGAAAGGUAUUGAAAAAUGAGAUGAAAUUACAGGUGGAGAAUCCAUAUUGUAAAGAACAUUAAAUCAUAAAAACCAUCAGCCUGCAGCAUUUGCAUGCCGGUAUAUCUUAUCAAAAACUUCAAAGGCAGAUACAUAGCAAACUCAACUAAACAUCAAGUGUCAAGUGAUUCAAGUAGCUAUCCAUAAUCAUUCAGCCAGAGAAACUACAGUUUCAUCGUAUAAAGUUGCGCCCAAAAGCUUACACUCAAGCUCCUUCUUAAGCCUAAAUCUGCCCCUGAAGACCGCCCUCUUCUUUUUAAGGCAUUUGAUCCUUACCAACUCCUUGUUGUCAAGCAGGAUCACUAUUUCACCACUUUCCGUAACAAAACUCGGCUCCCAAAAACGAACCGGAUCAAGAACAUCAUGUAAAUCCUUCUUCUGUAAUUUACAUAGUUUCUUCCAUGAAUUAGACACCCCAUAAUCUCUCAUCAUCCACAGAUCAAUAUACCCACCUGGCCGCCCUUCAACAUCAUAAGUCUCAGACCAAACACAAAGACAUCCUCCUGCAUGGACAACAGUCUUCAUUCUUCUAUUGAAACCUCGAUGAACUCGUUUAAAAGAAGGACCUGGCACUUUACGUAACUUCUCGUUUUCCAAAUCAAAAGCACAGACUUCAAUAUUGUUGCCUUCUAUGUUGUUGUUACGUUCUGUGUAGUGGUUGAUCCAAUGUAUUGCUUCAUUUGAAAGAGUUCCGGAAUUAGUAGUUGGGCUGUAGCUGCCCGAUGGCCAGCGAGAAGCUUGCCUGAGUUUCCAAGAGUUCUCUCUAACAGAGAAUAUGAAGACGUUGACGACUCUAGAACCAGAGUCAUCAGGGAAGGGUACCAAAACAAGCUUGUAAUCAUCAGUGGAUGAGACAUAACCAAAACCAUCUAAAACAAUAUUAUCAGAAUCAUAUUCUUCAUCGGAGCGCGCUUUUUUCAUUACUAGUGAAUAAUCUAGAAGAGGUAAUUUGCGCUCGAAACCAGUUGAUGGGUUCCAAAUAGACCAUCCAUUGAAAAUGUUACCUACAGCAACCAAGCCGUUGCACGAAGAGAUUACUAGUUUCUCAUUCUCUCCGGAUGGAAUGGUGAGAUUUCUGACCAGAGACUGAUAUCCGAAUGAGUCUUCUAAUGACUUGAAUUGAUAGGGGACUACGGAGAGAAUGAGUCUCCUUGUGAUGGUUCUUCUCUCAGUUGCUAGUUUGAGGUGGGCUUGACCUAACUGUGGAUCAGAAAGUAUGAUACUUUGCCACCGUUUCGAUACACAACUUAAUCCAAUCAAAGACUUAAUCGGCAACCUGCAUAGAAUCUUCUGAAGUACAUCUUCAGGGAUAUCAGAGUUGAGGUGACGAUCCUUCUUCGUCAUUGGCAACAUUAUCUGCCUAUUGAAAGAUUAACCAUGUACUAGCCUUCCUGCACCUCAGAGUGCGAAAGGGCCGCUGUAUAUCAUCUGAAAAAUGAGAUUAAGCGUUGGCACUACUGCACAAUUAAGAUGCAAUCACGAUAACAAAAUCAAAAUGUAUGCAGAAGAAGCUUAGUGAUCAAAAUUUACCAAAAGAGAAAAAGUUACAGUUAGGGUAUGUUCAACCGUGAAUGAUCGACUAGGUUAUUUUGUUUAUUUAGGAAUUAUGGUUACUUGGGGCACACGCAGAUCAUGACUUAAAUCCAACACGAAAAAGAAUGGAACUGAUUAACUUCACAUUCCGUCAUCUGUUACAGUGCAAUACAGAUGAAUUUUCAUGAGUAUAAAUAUUUUCCGAUCCUUUGUUUGGAUUUCUCUGCUAGACCAAAAGUUUUAAGUACUAGUAGAGAUUUCAAUAAUAGAUCCAAGAAAUUGUAUACAAUCAAGAAAACUUACCGGUAAAGAGGUUGGUCCAGCUGGACGCAGUGGCCGGCAAACAGCGCCGAUGUGAUCACUACCCAAAAUCACAGAAAGAAACUAAAGGAUUAUAUAACAGAGAUUUCGGGUUUGGGCUUCCUUGGGCUUGGGCUUGGGCUUUUUUUGGGUACGCUGGUUAUGGAUGAACUCAUGCAUUUGGGAAAAUCAUUGAGAACCAUUUUUCUUUACAGUAUACAUACUAUAUGUUAGCUCAAUGUCAAUUAUGUUUUCUAAUGUCUAUUUGCCGUAUGCAUAUGACUUUGCCAAUAAAGGCCAGCAUUUAUAGUUUGGAAUAAGAGAAAAUUACAUAGUAGCAUAUGACCAAAUUUAAAAACACAAAAAACUCAUUUCUAAUAAUUUUUAUACAAAUUAGGAUAUGGGUCUCAAGCCCAAAACCAAAUAAUAGCAGACAUGAUCCAAAUGUUAAAUUCAAAUGACCAAAAUGUUCUAUUUCCUAAUAAAAUUACAUUAGAUGCCACUCUCACUCCAUUUCCUUCUCUCAUUCCAACGUUUUGAUUCUUCUUCUUCUUCUUCUUCUUCUUCUCUCUCUCUCUCUCUCUCUCUCUCAAAUCUAGCAGAUCUCAUCAUCACAAUUUCAAUCCAUGACACGAUUUGAUAUGCCGCACCUUCAUCUUCCAUGGCGGCGAGUGCCUUGAACGAUGAACUCAUCGUCUUGUGCCACCGGGCAUGGCCGCCGAUUGUGUCUAAGGAGUCGAUCGGCAUCAUGGAGAAGACCGUCGAUAUCCUUUCGCGACAAUGUGGGGAGGAGCUUGCCCUAAAGACGGGAAUCUGUCGUCGGUCGUGUUGACAACUACAAGGCGGUGCUGCUACUGUCCUUAUUUGCCUGCUACAAGGCACUGCUUACUGUUUGGACAAAUGAUUUCACUGCUACUGUUUGGACAGAUGAUUUCGCUGCUACUGUUGGAAAAGUAAAUUUGCUGCUAUUGUUGGAAAAGUGAAUUUGCUGCUAUUGUUGGAAGGAAUUUGCUGCUAGUGUUGGAAAAGUAAAUUUGCUGCUACUGUUGGAGAGAAUUUGCUGCUACUGGUCAGAAAGUUAAAUUUGCUGCUACUGCGAGAUCUGUGGGUAAAGUAAAUUUGAUGCUACUGUUUAGAUAUGUUGGAGGGAAUUUGCUGCUACUGCAAGAUUUGUUGGGAGGGUUAAUUUGCUGCUACUGUUUAGAUCUAUUGGAAGUGUAGAUUUCGAAUCUAGUAGCAGCAGUAACAGCGUCCUAUUAUUAGGUAGUAGCAGAUUUCAAAGUUGGCAUCUAGUCGGCAGUAGCAGCAACAGGCAUCCUAGUUGACAGUAGCAGCAAUAUAAUAUGUGAUUAAGGGUAGUUUCGUAAAAUGUGUAGUGACAGAUGGCAUGUGGACAUCAAUUUGUCCUAAUUUGUUAAAUUUUGUCCUUAAAUGUGUAAGAUAUUGUGUAAAGGAUGUAUUUGUAAACUGAAAUUUGAUCAAUAACUUUAUAGUAAUUUACUAUUGGUAUAAAGAUAUACGACCAAAUAAGCUUUAAUUGCUGUUCACUUAUUACAUAUUUCGGUAAUGAAUGAAAUUAAAUUACUUGGCCUUUCAACAAAGAUAUCAAUCUUUCAAGAUUCGAAACGAUGAUACACACGCGUGAGACGCGGCCCUUCCGCACGUGAGUCUAGUAAUAAGAAAGCCAGAAAACAAAACUGAAUAUGCCCUUCACUACGGUCUUCACUAAAAUACAUACUUGAAAUGUCAUCAUUUCUUUUUAUACCAAACCUAAAGGUGACCUCAUUAAAACAUUGUUCUGAUAAAAUCCAGUAGGAUAAAAACUCAAAUUCAAGAAUGAGUACCACCUAAGAAGAUUUUGUAAGAUAGACAAGUAAAAGCUUGAUUAACCGUCUCAAAAGUCAAAAACUUCAUGUAACUGUUCCCAAAUCCCGCCGGCGACUGAGCACCACCAACUAUGGUUCAAGGAAACAGAAGAUUUCACUCACCAUAACCAUUAAGAUAGAGAAACUAGAGUCUCAUCGUAUGAAGUUGCGCCUAACAAAUGCUUACACCCAGGCGCCUCCUGGAGCCUAUAUCGGCCACUGCAGACCGGCUUCUUCUUUUUAUGGCAUUCAAUCCUUACCAACUCCUUGUUGUCAACCUUGAUCACAAUUGCACCACUUUCUAUAACCAAACAUGGCUCCCAAAAACUAAGUGCAUCAAGAUCAAGAACAUUCCGUAUGUCAACAUCCCUCCUAAAUUUAAAAGGCUUCAUCCAUGAAUUACGCACCCCAUAAUCUCUCAUCAUCCAUAGUUCACUAUACCAACACCGUUUUUGAAAAGUCUCAGACCAAAGGCAGAGGCAUCCUCCUGAAUGAUCAAUAGUCUGCAUUUUUCUGUUAACAUGAGGAUUAUCAUUUUGGUUAAAACGAGGAGCAGGCACUUUACGAAACUCCUCCUUCUCCAAAUCAAAUGCACACACAUCAAACUCCUUAUAAUUAUGGUCUCUGUUAACCCAAUGGAUUGCUUCAUUUGAAAGAGUUCCGUGGUGUGUAGGAGCGUAGGGUCUGUAGCUCCCGGAUGGCCAGAGAGAAACUUUCUUGAGCUUCCAAGAAUUAGCUCUCAUAGAGAAUAUGAAGAUAUUGACGUCAACUGCAUAACCAAAAUCUUUAACAGGGGAUACUAAAACAAGUUUGUAGUCAUCAGUGGAUGAGGCAUAACCAAAACCAACUAACAUUUCACUAAACACAGUGUUCGGACUGCUGCGCUUCCCCUUCUCUCAAGGGGGCUUUAUACUUUUUCAUUACCAGUGAAUAAUCUGGAGCACGGAUUUUGCGGCAGAACCCAGUUGAUGGGUUCCAAAUAGACCACCCUUUGUGAAAAUAACCUAGAGCUACCAAACCGUUGCUAGAAAGCACUUUGCCACACUCCUCGGGUGGGAUGGUGAGAUUUCUAACCAAUGAAUCAUCUCCAAACGAUCUUUCUAAAAAUUUGAAUUGAUGAGGCACACCAAGUUCGGGGAUUUCAUCAAGAAGAUCUAAUUCAUAGGGGAAUAUGGUGAGAAAGAGUCUCUUAGUGAUGGUUCUCUGCUCUGAUGCUAGUUUGAGGUGGGCGUUUCCAAAUUGUGGGUCUGAAAGUAUGAUGCCACGCCACUGUUUCGAUACACAACUAAAUCGGAUCAAAGACUUGAAUGGCAACCUACACAGAAUCUGCAGAAUUAUAUCUUCAGGGAGGUCAAAGUUCUGUUGCACCUUCUCCAUUGUCUCGAUCCAGCAGGGAAGCUAUCAACAACUAUAUAUGGUUCUUCAACUAAUUAAGAUGCAAUAACAAGUGAACGUGUACAACAAAACGACCCUAUGUAGAAUCUGAAACAAGUAAAUUAGUUUACCAAGAAAGAGUUGCCGUCGGAACAAGAGCUUAAUUUGGUGCGGCGGAGCUAACGGAGGUAGGGCUUUGUUGAAACGUGAAUGACUAGGGCUUGUAUAUUUAGGAGAUGGGUAUGAUUGCGUGAGUCGCAAGACAUGAGAUGCUUUAUUUGUUGUUGAGAAGAAUGAGAAGAAUGAGAAGAUCCUUGUGAAAACUAUAAUGCGAGGCCCAAAGGGAACGCGAGUGAAACCCUAGGUUUUGGGACAGAAACAUAUGAUUUGGUCCAUAUGAUCGCUCGACGCAGGAAGGUAGUGAUCGUGGGAAGCUGGGCAGUGGCAGAGGAGGCCACCGCAAGGAAAGAAGUGUCGUUGGCCCUAUUAGUGCCAACACCGUCCCCCUCAAGGAAAUACACUCACAUAUUCUUCUUUUCUGUAGUAAGUGUCGAUGCAACUCAUUGAUUCAUUAACAUUAUCGGAAACAAAGCAUCUCCGGCCAUGGAGGCACUUACAUAUAUCUAAGAUGAAGAAUUACAAUAGUUAUAACAUAAACCAUUCAAUAACGUAAGCGAGCUAGAAUCACACUUACAUGUUCUUCUUUUCUGUAAUAAGCAUCGAUGCAAGUCAUGCAACUCAUUCAUUCAUUAACAUUAUCGGAAACAAAACAUCUCCGUGUUGUUUAGUGUCUCAAUUUGUCUAUGUUAAUCUUGUAUUAGAUUAAAGGUUGUUUUGUAAAAGCUAUCUUAAGGCUUUAUAAGGGUAGUAAUAGGGUUUCUCCCUAUCAAGAGAGAUAGUUGUUUGUUUGCUGCCGUAAACACCUUUGAGAGCUGUUGUGAUAGCAGAGCUGCUAUCACUUUGUAACCCCUCAUUUGUUAGUGGAUUUCAUUCUCCCUGCUACUCCACGUUAAAUCCUUUGUGUUCUCUUUUGUUCUCUGUUCUUGCAUAAGAUUUAAGCUGUGGGAUUUUCCCAACAGUAAUAUCUUGUUCAUCUGUUAACUGCUGUUAUUUGCCGUUGUUAUUUGGUUUGAGCGCAACACUCCGGCCAUGGAAGCACUAACAUAUAUCCAAGAUGAAGAAUUACAAUAGUUAUGACGUAAAAAUCAACCAUCAUUUAGGAGCACAUUUGAUAAAACAUAAAAGGUCUUGCCAUAAAAAAUAAAUAAUAAACGGUGGAGAAUAUACAUAUAUAAAAAAAAAUUAAAAUAAAAACAUAAAGUGAUAGGAAGCCAACAGUUUUGAAUGGAAAUGUAGCAAAGUCGAUUAAACAUCAAGUAUAUGUACCCAACUGAUUCACUAUAUAUAAUCAUUUCAGCUAGAGAGAAACUAGAGUUUCAUCAUAUAAAGUUGCACCUGACAAAAGCCUACACCCAGGCGCCUCCUGAUCAAGCCUAUAUCGGCCGAUGCACACCGGCUCCUUGUUUUUACAGCAUUCAAUCCUUACCAACUCCUUCUCGUCAAGCUCGAUCAUAAUUUCUACUUUCCAUAACCAAACUUGGCUCCCAAAUAGGAACUCCUCCAAGAACAUCCCAAAAAGCAGACUUCCUAAAUUUAAAAAGAUUCAUCCAUGAAUUACACACCCCAUAAUCUCUCAUAAUCCACAAUUCGAUUUCCCCAUGAUAAGUCUCGGACCAAAGGCAAAGGCACCCUCCUGCAUGAUCAACAGUCUGCAUUGUUCGAUCGCCAUGUCUAGCAAUAUCAUGGUUAAAACAAUCCGGAACAGGCACAUUACGUAACUCCUCAUUCCCCAAAUCGAAAGCACAGACAUCAAACUCUUCAACCUGCGGUCUGUUUAGAUUUAUGUAGAUGUCAUAGUUAUAUUCUCUAUGGUGGUUAGCCCAAUGAACUGCUUCAUUUGAAAGAGUUCCAUAUACGCACCUAGGACUGUAACCCCGGGCUGGCCAGCGAGAAGCUUCCCUGAGUUUCCAUGAGUUAGCUCUCAUAGAGAAUAUGAAGAUGUUGAGGACGUUAGAUGAAGAAGUACCAGCUCUCAUCCAUGGACUAGAUUCAUCAUCAAUGGGGGAUACUAAAACAAUUAGUUUGUAGUCAUCAAUGGAUGAGGCAUAACCAAAACCAACCAACACAUUAGUAAAAUCAUAGUCUUCUCUCCAGGGGCAUGACCUCUUUUUCUUUACUAGUGAAUAAUCUGGAGCAGGUAUUUUGCGGUGGAACCUAGUCGAUGGGUUCCAAAUUGACCAACCUUUCGAAAAACUACCUAGAGCUACCAAACCGUUGCAUGAAAGCACUUUGCCAUGCUCCUCGGGUGGGAUGGUGAGAUUUCUGACCAGAGAAUCAUCUCCAAACGAGGUUUCUAAAGAUUUGAAUUGAUAGGGCACACCGAGUUCGGGGAUUUCUUCAUCAUCUAAACCGUGUUCAGUGAGGAAGAGUCUCCUAGUGAUGGUUCCCUUCUCAGAUGCUAGUUUGAGGUGGUCUUUUCCGAAUUGUGGGUCGGAAACUAUGAUGCUACGCCACCGUUUGGAUACACAGCUGAAUCGAAUCAAAGACUUAACCGGCAACCUACAUAGAAUAUUCAGAGUUAUAUCUUCAGGGAGGUCAGAGUUCAGGUUCAGACGAUACUUCUUCUUCACUGGCAACGCCAGCAUAUUAGUAACAAUAACCAAACGUAUGUAGAAUCUGAAGCUAUAAGUAACAAAAGUUUACCAAAAAGAGAAACUUACCCGUUGGAGCCACAGCAGAAAAUAAGACUUCAAUAUGUUUGGGAUGUUAAGGUAUAUCAUUUUUCUCAAACUACAAGGUUUAUAUAGGAUUCAAGCGUUGUUCUAACGGGAAAUUAUCUCCUACAAUUGUACAUAAUAUGUUUCCUACACAUACAAGGAAAGUAAAUAUCACUAUUCUACAGCUACGGCUUUGAUGGGGUGCGUCGGGUCAAUACUGACACAAUUAGGCUAGGGUUUGCUCAAACGUGAAUGAUCACUGAUCAUGGUUAUUUUUUUAUAUUAUUAUUAUUUAUACCACUGAGCAACAGUUUGAAAAUUUCUAGAUAGAUAGAUAUACAAAAGAUGGAUGAUCAAGGAAUGGAAAUAAGCACCAAUGCGGCUGGUUAUGCCCAAAAAUUUUAGAGCAGCUAGCUAGAUUCCUUGCCUAAGUGGAGCAUUAGGGUGUCGACAAGCAGGACAGAGAUGAUUGAUGUGGAGCCAGGGGACAAUGCAAUCUCGAUGAUAAUUGUAUGAGAAGCAGAGCAGGGCAACUGAUCAAUGCUGAUAUCUUUUUUUCAGUCCAAACAUUUCCAUACAAAUAGCACAUUGUAAUUCAUCAUCAACAUCAUCAGGUGGACUCGCGGCUUCCUCCAAAACCUGGAUGAAUGAUUCAGUUGCCGGAGCCCGGAAUCAGCUUGUGUUAAGAUAUCAGUCCCACAUCGGGAAUAUGAGACCUUGCCUGUAGGUUGAUAAGGGUUUGGGUCACUCCACCCAUUGCCAAUUGGUUUUGGAUGUGAACCCUAGACUAUUUUAUCAUGGUAUCAGAGCGGGUUACCCACGUCUACGUGUGAAGCUCAAUGGCCACAUGAACUCCACGUCACCCCAAAUGUUGCUCACGUGUUAGGCUUAAAAAUUUGCCACACAUGCGAGGACGUGUUGAGAUAUCAAUCCCACAUCAUGAAUAUGGGACCUUGCCUGUAGGUUUCUAAGGGUUUGGGUCACUCAACCCAUUGCCAAUUGGUUUUGGAUGUGAAACCCUAGACUAUUUUAUCAGCUUGGCGUUGUAGUAUGAAUUAUAAUCUGCAACCUCCGACAACAACUCUCUCAUGCUUGCUUCAACUCUGUUCUUCAUUUCUUCUGUUUACAGAGGCGUCUGUCUUAACUCUAAAGUGAAUGCUCAGGCUUGUAUAUGUAGGAUUUUUAAGAGUAUGGUAGCGUGAGUCGCAAGUAUAUCAUAAGAGAUGGGCCGCUUUGGGGCAUUUUGCUGUCUUCUGGUUUGGACUAGCAGGCUGGCCCAUCAUUCAUCGAGUAAAGUAAAGUAAGCCCAGAAUUGAUUUUUUUUUUUUGGAAUUAUCUGAACAGAGCAUGGAUCUGAUGCACUCUUUGGAUCUAGUUCAGCAAAUCAGCCUUUUCACUCUGAUUCCUUAGGUUAUGGUCUGGUCGAUUAGAGGUUUCUAAUUGUAUUUCGUUUUCAAGUUUGAAAAAAGAAAGAAAGCUGGAGAAUAGCACGUAGUGUCUUUUGAACUUGCAUCAAUUAUGUCGUAAAUUACAUUAUGAAAUUCAAGAUCUAUCUUAUUAAAAGAAAAAAGGUACAUGCGGAGUUUGACAUAUACCAUCUAGUGAAACUUGGACGACUUAUAGUCCAAACUUAAUCAGAAUUUAAAACCUUAUAUAUAAAACGAAAAAUAAAAAUUCAGCUUUCAUGCGAUGCAUUUCGAUCUUUAAAAAAACACAAUAAAUUUUUAAUAUCGCCGCACUUACAAGUGAGGUGUAGUGUCAAAUCUAAGAAAUGGUGCAUAUGUUUCAUGAAUCAUGACUACAUAAGCUCUGGUGGUUGGAUAGUUAAGUUGAAGAAGUAGGGACAGACCCUUCUGCUGAGAUUUCAGUUUCUAGGGUGGCAACAUCUCUCUAUCAACUAUCACAUUAGAUAAUGAACCAGAGUCUGUAAAAUUCACCCAAAUGUAACAUGUAAAAAUAGUGAUCGAUCUGUUAGCAUAUUACUUACAUGAGCAACUAUCAGAAUAGUACUGCUUAACAAUGCAUCGUUUCUAAGUUUAGUAAUCUUCCAUUUUGCGCCAAAUUGAUUAAAGGUGGCUAUGGAAGCUCUUCUUUAUCAUCAUUUUGGCAAGACCCUUAAUAAUCAAGUCAUGGACCUAAGCUACUUUGAAUAGUUAACACCAACAUGGCAAAGGUCUAAUCCUAUUUAUAUGAAAGAUGGUAUUAAUUAGUUUGACAAGUAUGGUUAUGUGUAACCAAAUCUUGAAGAACAAUUUAUGUGAUUAGAUCAAUGAGUAAUGAGCACUUGUUGGUUACUUUAGCAACACGGUGUUUGCAUCUUGACUCUUUCUAGUUGGCUACGGAAAACUAGACACAUCCCAAUAUAUGUUCCCUAACUUCCCCGGAAACAUUACAUUAUUUGGAUUUGGAGAGGUUUACAUAAAUGAAGAGUUGAAGACUCUUAUUCUCACCCACCUGUCAUUGGCAUCCUAAUAAACAUUGUAUUUUACAAAUCCUAGCUAGUACAAGAAACUCAGGUAAUUGAAGCUUUAGUUUCAGUUGCUGAGGCUUUUCUCUAUGCGAGACAACCUUAUGUUUGCAAGAGACAAUGGCAUGUAGAAGAUUAGAGGUCAAAGGUGAUUCCAAAUUGGUUAUCGAUGCAGUAAGUGACACAUUUGCUACACCUUGGAGACUAAUCAAGAUAGUGAAGUACAUUAAAACUCUUGGUACUCAAUUUUGUACCUAAUGCAGUAGUGAUUUUUGAACAUAAUUCUGCCAACGGUAUUACCUAACAAAGUCUUUAUUAAGAUGUCUCAUUAUCUCACGCUUUCUUCUUUGACAUUGUAAAUUUCGGGUUCUAGAUAUAAGAAAAACUCGAUAACUAUAAACUGAUUUGAAAUAUGGUAUUACUUUAGAGUGUAUCAUUUCUAAGUGCAGUAAUCUUCUUUUGGAAAUAUGACCCUUUAUAAUCACGUCAUGGGCCUAAGCUUCUUUUAAUAGUUAAUACCAACGUGAUUAGAGGUAUACCUUUUUAUAUAAAAGAUGGUAGUGGUUAGUUUAACAAGUAUGGUAAUGUGUCACCAAAUAUUGAAGAACAAUAUAUGUGAUUAUAUCGCUUUGGCGAUAUGUUGUGUUUGCAUCUUGACUCUUUCUAAUUCUUGGUUAUAGAAAAUUAGAUAUCCCAAUGUUUCCUUAACAUCCCCUGAAUCCUGCACUAUUUGGAGAGAGAUUUACAUAAAUCAAGACUCUUAUUCUUACCCACCGGUGACUUUGGGAUCCUAACAAAAUACAAAUCCUAAAGCAUAACAAACUCUCCUUUUUCUUUAUUCAUUUCAUUGUUCCUUUAAUUUUACCCUUUUCCAUUCAUUUAUUCAAAAAGAAGAAACAUAGAACAGUGUUUAUAUGAUUAAAGGAGUCUAGUGCAGCUAAAUUUUCUGAUUCUUCACAUUCGUAUAGAAACAUUAUCAGUUUCUGUGAUGGAAAAGCUGUUUUUGAUGGCUGAAUGAUCCCACAUAUAUGCCUGUGCCAUUGUCAGAUUGGAAUGGCUUUGCUUGAUUCAUUGUUGGGGAAUGAAGCUAAAAGAUUUGUGAAAAGGAAAGACAGUGAUGCAGGAGAAGCAGGUUUGAACAAUAUGCAUGUUCUGGGUGGCAUCACCAUUAUGAUCCUAUGAUUGUUGUAUAUCUCUACUAUUAAUUGUUCUUCCUCUUUUUAUGAAUGAGAAUAUUGAGGUGCGCAUCUGGGUGCAAUUAAAAACAAAUCUUCGAGUAAAUUCUUUUCCUUUUUAAUAUUUUCGUGGUGUAGUUGUUCAUACUUCAAACUCAACUUAUAUCAUUCUAUUCAUGGAGUAGCUACAAUGGCCAUUUCUGUUUUGUUUUGCUGAUGAUGAUGGUUUUUGAUAGUUUCAAGAGCUUAGCUUUACAAUGUGAAUAAUGUAACAAUAUGCAUUACUCUUAUCCUCAUUAACAACCAAUAUAUUAUUUACUUGAUGUUCUUGGGUUAAUUCCUCUGAGCAAUUUUAGUUAAAUUACUUAGAUAGGAUAGAACUAUGACAAAUGCUUAGUGAUUAACCGACCUUAAAAGAAACCACAGCAGCUUAUUGCUCAAAAAUUAAGAUUUACAUGCUUCUAGUUGUAGUUAUGAUUCUCCAAAUUAUCAGGUAAAGCACUUGAAGAACUCAGAGGCUCUCUCUACAAUGACCUUCGAACUUCAGAAGGCGCCAAGCGCCAACAGCAACGAUUUUGUGGUCCGGUGGUGGCGAUGACCUUCAAUUUUGUGGUGUCUGUGGGGAUCAUCCUGGCAAAUAAACUUGUACAUGCCUUAUCCUUCCUUUCUUGCCUUUCUGUAGUUGAAAUAUGCUUUUGCAUUUUGUAUAGAUUUGAUAAUCACUAUGUUUAGUACUCUUAUGUCUAAUUGUGUUUCUGCUUAUUCCAGGUAAUGGGGAGAGUUGGAUUCAAGUUUCCAAUCUUUCUCACAUUGAUUCAUUAUGUGACAGCUUGGUUGCUUCUAGCCAUUUUUAAGACACUCUCAAUUCUUCCGGUUUCUCCUCCGGCCAGAACUACCCCUUUCACUUCUCUCUUCUCUUUAGGUGCUGUCAUGGCUUUUGCCUCUGGUCUUGCCAAUACAAGUCUAAAACACAACAGGUUCUACCUUGGUAUCUUGUGUCAUCUAUAUAUGAUGUACAAAAUUGUUACAAACUCAAUAUGUUACGUACUUUCCUCACCAUUCUGCUCAUUAAAUGCAGUGUUGGUUUCUACCAGAUGGCUAAAAUUGCUGUAACUCCUACCAUUGUUCUUGCCGAGUUUAUUCUCUUUAGAAAAACCAUUUCUUGUAACAAGGCAAGCUCAAAUGAUUUUGUCCCACUUCUUUGGUGUCACCUUCUUGUGAAUUAUUGUAAGUAGUCUUACUUAUGCAGGUUUUAGCUCUAGCUGUCGUCUCAGCAGGUGUGGCAGUAGCAACAGUAACAGAUUUAGAGUUCAAUUUGUUUGGUGCCUUGAUUGCAAUCGCGUGGAUAGUCCCAAGUGCUGUAAACAAAAUCCUGUGGUCUAAUCUUCAACAGCAAGGGAAUUGGACCGCCCUCGCGUAAGACUUGAUUCCCUAUUAUCCUCCUAGCUCUUUGAAGAUGGUUAAUGGUUAAGCAUUUAUCUGUCAUGUAUAAGCUAUGAAGUGACAUUUUAUUUUCCGAGUGUAGGCUGAUGUGGAGGACUACCCCAGUCACUAUUUUCUUCUUAUUAGCUCUUAUGCCAUGGUUGGAUCCACCAGGAGUUCUACUGUUCCAGUGGAAUAUGAAUAACUCAAGUGCUAUUCUUAUAUCAGCAAUCCUUGGUUUUCUCCUCCAAUGGUCCGGGGCAUUGGCACUCGGGUGAGUUCGUUGUUGUUAUGCUAUAGAGGAGUCUGGAUGUUGUGCUGAUCUGAUAUACUUGUCUAAAACUUAGUUCUCAGUAAUUGCUCAAAGAUUGAAUACAAAAUUCAAAAAUCAAAAUGGCGUCGAUUUGGAUACAUAACAAUGUGCUCUUAUAAAUUGUUUCUAGUGCUGUAGUAUUGAUAUCCAAUUCUCUUGUAUGCAGGGCAACCUCAGCAACUAGCCAUGUUGUUCUUGGACAGUUCAAGACUUGUGUGAUAUUACUAGGGGGAUAUUUUCUUUUCAAAUCAGAUCCAGGGUUCGUGAGCCUCUGUGGGGCUGUUACAGCCCUCGGUGGAAUGUCUGUUUACACAUCACUAAACCUGAAAAAACCACAAGACAAUGUGACCAAGCAAUCCUUACCUACACUAAAACCCAAAACCAUAGACCAAGAAAGUGUAGUAGAGUCAGAAGCAAAGGAUACCACAGUUGUUUGAACCAAGCAGGCAUACAAAUUUUGUGUAUACAUAGCUGCUAAAGAACAUCUUUCACAUAUCUAUACUCGGUUGCUAAAGCACACUGUCAUUUCAGACAUUUCACUUUAGUUGCAUAGGGUUACAUACAGCAUGCAACCUUCUUCAGCACAAAGCCUGAUUGCAGAAUGCAGGAGCGAUUAUAAAUCAGUUGGAAAUCAGAAGUUCUAUUGUCUUGUCACUGCUGUGGCAUGAAACUUCUGAAUUCUGUCAACUGCUUGGAAACUUUCUACUCUGAAACUUUUGACAUGUGAAACUAAAACAAGAUAUUAGUAGGACUAUAAGUUGGUUUAUAACGAUUUCAUCAUGAAUAUUUGAAUACAUAAAGCUUGAACAUGAAACAGAUCUUCCAAGGAAAUGAAAUGACACAAAAUGCCAAUUCGCAUAUUAUACCAAUUACAACCGUAUGAUCCAUCAUGUUUGCUAUGAUAAUAUCAUAAUAUACAGGUGAGAUAUCGGAAAAGGAAAAAUUGGUAAAAUCCCACCUACUCUAUGAUCCUCUUAGUUUCCUAUGACAUCUUAAGAAAUCACUAGUUUCAAAAGCUAAAAUCUCAUUUCCCACCAAGACUUUUCCUUUCUCAAAACACAAAUGAGGAAGAACACUAGACAAUAAUGGAAAACCCAAACCUAUCUUCUUCCAACUUCAGACGGUCAGCACUGACAAUUCCCUACCACAAAAGGAUGACAUUCCAAAAAUUUCUGGCCAGCAUUUCAUAUUUACACUCAGAACAAGCCAGAUACCAGAUUCCCAGUUUAUCUUCAGCCUCCAAAAGAUGUGCUUUGUGUUCAUUCCCCAUAGGAAGUUCCCCUAAAUCAAAAAUUACUGUUCCAAUUCAUUUGUGCAUGUUAAGGCUGCUGAUAAGCAGCAGGUGGGGGUCCUAUGCUCUCGGCAGCUCCAGCCACAGCCUGGGACUGUUGCAGAUAUGUUGGAGAAGCCAUCGUCUGCCCUGGUGGAUAUAGUCCAGUCAUGCCACCGUGUCCAGCAUGGACGGGCGAGUACGUGAAGCGUUGUCCUUGAGGAAGGUUGUACAGAGAGCUGAUAUCUUGUCC
rnacentral:lncRNA from 1 species